GAUGAACGCUGGCGGCGUGCCUAAUACAUGCAAGUCGAACGCUGGAGAUCUAGCUUGCUAGAUCGAAGGAGUGGCGAACGGGUGAGUAAUACAUAAGCAACCUACCCACGAAGACUGGGAUAAUCUCUGGAAACGGGGACUAAUACCGGAUAGGUAAUCGGAAGGCAUCUUCUGGUUAUUAAAGGUUAAAAACACUGGUGGAUGGGCUUAUGGCGCAUUAGUUAGUUGGUGAGGUAACGGCCCACCAAGACGAUGAUGCGUAGCCGGCCUGAGAGGGUGAACGGCCACAUUGGGACUGAGACACGGCCCAGACUCCUACGGGAGGCAGCAGUAGGGAAUUUUCGGCAAUGGGGGCAACCCUGACCGAGCAACGCCGCGUGAGUGAAGACGGCCUUCGGGUUGUAAAGCCCUGUUGUAAGGGAAGAACGGUAGAUAGAGAAUAUCUAAGUGACGGUACCUUACCAGAAAGCCACGGCUAACUACGUG
rnacentral:rRNA from 1 species